GACGAAGGGUGCGAGCGUUGUUCGGAAUCACUGGGCCUAGAGCGCACGUAGGCGGCGGCGUAAGUCGGGUGUGAAAUCCCUCGGCCCAACCGAGGAACUGCGCCCGAUACUGCGUUGCUUGAGGAUCAGAGGGGUGCACGGAAUUUCCGGUGGAGCGGUGAAAUGCGUUGAUAUCGGAAGGAACGUCGGCGGCGAAAGCGGUGCACUGGCUGAUUUCUGACGCUGAGGUGCGAAAGCCAGGGGAGCAAACGGG
rnacentral:rRNA from 1 species